rnacentral:tRNA from 1 species
GGGGAUGUGGCUCAGUGGCAGAGAACUUGCCUGGCAUGUGUGAGGCCCUGGGUUCAAUUCCCAGCACCACCA